rnacentral:rRNA from 1 species
GAUGAACGCUGGCGGCGUGCCUAAUACAUGCAAGUCGAGCGAACAGACGAGGAGCUUGCUCCUCUGACGUUAGCGGCGGACGGGUGAGUAACACGUGGAUAACCUACCUAUAAGACUGGGAUAACUUCGGGAAACCGGAGCUAAUACCGGAUAAUAUAUUGAACCGCAUGGGUCACUAGUGAAAGACGGUUUUGCUGUCACUUAUAGAUGGAUCCGCGCCGCAUUAGCUAGUUGGUAAGGUAACGGCUUACCAAGGCAACGAUGCGUAGCCGACCUGAGAGCGUGAUCCGCCAGCCUGUAACUGAGACACGGCCCAGACUCCGACGGGGGGCAGCAGUAGGGAAUCUUCCGCGAGGCGCGAGAGCCUGACGGAGCAACGCCGCGUGAGUGAUGAAGGUCUUCGGAUCGUAAAACUCUGUUAUUAGGAAAGAACAAAUGUUUAAGUAACUAUGCACGUCUUGACGGUACCUAAUCAGAAAGCCACGGCUAACUACGUG